rnacentral:lncRNA from 1 species
GUCGUCCGCCCAGGUCCGAGACCCUGCGCGAGGGUUCCUCGGGCCCCGCGGACUGGCGCCUCCGGAGCGGGCUGCCCUCCUCGCCCCACGGGCCGGGCCUUGGGCUGCCGCGCUCCUCGGGGACCGGGCCGUCCCGCUGGCCGCGCGGGGCUGGCGCUGUCGCCCUGAGGCCGACGGUGGUCGAGGCCGAGAAGCUGAUCAGCCCCCCCCCGCGCUGGGAACCUUCUAGGGUGUGACCCCGAGGAGGUCGGGAAUGGCGGUGGGAAGAGCAAAGUUCCACCUGGGUGUCGUCUUUGGGCUGUGAUCAAGGAAAUGGGGCGACUUAAGGACAAGGACACGCAAGACAGUUGGCAAAGGGAAAGCGCGAGUCAGGGAAUUACCUGGUUUCUUCCUUUGUGGGUGAGCUGCCAAAGGACUCAGCCCUGGAUCCAGUCGGCCACUUAACACUGAAUAGCCGAGGAAGGGCGGUGAAACCCAGUCCUUCCAGAAGAAUAUGAGAUUUGGGAAAACAAUAGGAAGAAAGGGGGAGCUGGACUAAGGCUUCCACGACUCCACGAGUGAUGUGGGGCGCUGCGGAGAACUCACAAAACCUGACCUCAGCCGCAAUAUAAUCCCUAAGAUGAACUACCGAAGACUUGAGUCCUCACCAUUGCCUGGGGGAAUAACAGUACAUACAUGCCCUCUAGUAUGCUGUGACUUGGAGAACACACCUAAUCCUUCCAUGCUUUCUGAGAAUACUGGGUCACCUCAAGGCAAUGCACUUGAAGCAAAUUAGCCCUUCGGUUACAGCACGUCUGUUGGCAAUGCGUUACAGUGGUCCCCUCUUAAUACCUGCAAAAGGAAGAGUGUAGUCUGUAUUGAAGAUUUAGAAGGGUCUGGAUGAUGCAGGGUUUAGUACUUUUAUUAAUUGAAAGAAUCUUGAAGCUAAAUUGGAAGACUCUUGGAUUACACGUCAUGAUGAUUUACGUGAGAUUGAAAUUCUCAUUACUGAGAAAGGAAUAGAAUGAAACAUCUAAAGUGAGAUCAGAAUCCUGAAAUAAUAAAAGGAUUAAAUACAGGCCCCUAAUUUAGUGAUAUUCACAUUUUUGACAAUGGAUUCUCCAGUGUAAUAUGUUUUUAGACUAUCUUUUAGGUGGUCAGGCGCCCUCUGCUGCUUCCAAGUAGAAGUUCAGAAAACAAAAGAAAUUCUUAAUGACAGACUAAAUGAAGGACAAAUGCCAACUUUUUACCUUCACAAUAAUCAGCAAGCCUGGAAGAGUCACCCAGGUGUGGGAUAUAUGAGAUGGUUCUUCACACAUUUUCCACAUGGAAAAUGAGAAUAAUAAACCAGCCCCUACCACAAAGAAAUCUUGAGAGAAUCGAGUGAAAUAACAAAACAUCAAAAGCAAUAUACAAACCUUAGAGUCUACAUGCUGUUGAGUGAGGUCAUCAUUCUGACCUGACUGACAAUCAUUUAACAACAUUAGUUGAAUACUGCAACACGUGGGACAUGUACUAGGCCAC